rnacentral:rRNA from 1 species
UACGGAAGGCAGCAGUGGGGAAUAUUGCACAAUGGGCGCAAGCCUGAUGCAGCCAUGCCGCGUGUAUGAAGAAGGCCUUCGGGUUGUAAAGUACUUUCAGUCGUGAGGAAGGUGUUAAGGUUAAUAACCUUAGCAAUUGACGUUAGCGACAGAAGAAGCACCGGCUAACUCCGUGCCAGCAGCCGUGGUAAUACGGAGGGUGCGAGCGUUAAUCGGAAUUACUGGGCGUAAAGGGCACGCAGGCGGUUAAUUAAGUUGGAUGUGAAAUCCCCGGGCUUAACCUGGGAAUGGCAUUCAAGACUGGUUAGCUAGAGUCUUGUAGAGGGGGUAGAAUUCCAUGUGUAGCGGUGAAAUGCGUAGAGAUGUGGAGGAAUACCGGUGGCGAAGGCGGCCCCUGGACAAAGACUGACGCUCAUGUGCGAAAGCGUGGGGAGCAAACAGGGAUUAGAUACC